AUGGCUCAGGAUGAACGCUAGCGGCAGGCUUAACACAUGCAAGUCGAGGGGCAUCGGGAGUAGCAAUACUUGCCGGCGACCGGCGCAAGGGUGCGUAACGCGUGAGCAACAUGCCCGUAUCAGGGGGAUAAUCCAUGGAAACGUGGUCUAAUACCCCAUAGUAAUUAUGUAAGGCAUCUUAUAUAAUUUAAAGCUUUGGUGGAUACGGAUUGGCUCGCGUGACAUUAGCUAGAUGGUAAGGUAACGGCUUACCAUGGCUACGAUGUCUAGGGGUUCUGAGAGGAAGGCCCCCCACACUGGAACUGAGACACGGUCCAGACUCCUACGGGAGGCAGCAGUGAGGAAUAUUGGACAAUGGAUGGAAAUCUGAUCCAGCCAUGCCGCGUGCCAGGAAGACGGCCCUAUGGGUUGUAAACUGCUUUUGUAUGGGAGCAAUAAGGGCUACGCGUAGUCCGAUGAGAGUACCAUACGAAUAAGCACCGGCUAACUCCGUGCCAGCCGCUGC
rnacentral:rRNA from 1 species